rnacentral:rRNA from 1 species
ACUCCUACGGGGAGGCAGCAGUGGGGAAUAAUUGCGACAAUGGGCGCAAGCCUGAUGCAGCCAUGCCGCGUGUAUGAAGAAGGCCCUUCGGGUUGUAAAGUACUUUCAGCAGUGAGGAAGGUGGGUAUGUUAAUAGCAUAUUCAUUUGACGUUAGCUGCAGAAGAAGCACCGGCUAACUCCGUGCCAGCAGCCGCGGUAAUACGGAGGGUGCGAGCGUUAAUCGGAAUUACUGGGCGUAAAGCGCAUGCAGGUGGUUUGUUAAGUCAGAUGUGAAAGCCCGGGGCUCAACCUCGGAAUUGCAUUUGAAACUGGCAAACUAGAGUACUGUAGAGGGGGGGUAGAAUUUCAGGUGUAGCGGUGAAAUGCGUAGAGAUCUGAAGGAAUACCGGUGGCGAAGGCGGCCCCCUGGACAGAUACUGACACUCAGAUNCGAAAGCGU